AACGAACGCUGGCGGCAUGCCUAACACAUGCAAGUCGAACGAUUGCCUUCGGGGGAUAGUGGCGCACGGGUGCGUAACGCGUGGUAAUCUGCCCUUAGGUUCGGAAUAACAGCUGGAAACGGCUGCUAAUACCGGAUGAUAUCGCGAGAUCAAAUAUUUAUCGCCUGAGGAUGAGCCCGCGUUGGAUUAGGUAGUUGGUGGGGUAAAGUCCUACCAAGCCGCCGAUCCAUAGCUGGUCUGAGAGGAUGAUCAGCCACACUGGGACUGAGACACGGCCCAGACUCCUACGGGAGGCAGCAGUGGGGAAUAUUGGACAAUGGGCGCGAGCAUGAUCCAGCAAUGCCGCGUGAGUGAUGAAGGCCCUAGGGUUGUAAAGCUCUUUUACCCGGGAAGAUAAUGACUUUACCGGGAGAAUAAGCCCCGGCUAACUCCGUG
rnacentral:rRNA from 1 species